rnacentral:rRNA from 1 species
GAUGAACGCUGGCGGCGUGCCUAAUACAUGCAAGUCGAGCGAACAGACGAGGAGCUUGCUCCUCUGACGUUAGCGGCGGACGGGUGAGUAACACGUGGAUAACCUACCUAUAAGACUGGGAUAACUUCGGGAAACCGGAGCUAAUACCGGAUAAUAUAUUGAACCGCAUGGUUCAAUAGUGAAAGACGGUUUUGCUGUCACUUAUAGAUGGAUCCGCGCCGCAUUAGCUAGUUGGUAAGGUAACGGCUUACCAAGGCAACGAUGCGUAGCCGACCUGAGAGGGUGAUCGGCCACACUGGAACUGAGACACGGUCCAGACUCCUACGGGAGGCAGCAGUAGGGAAUCUUCCGCAAUGGGCGAAAGCUUGACGGAGCAACGCCGCGUGAGUGAUGAAGGUCUUCGGAUCGUAAAACUCUGUUAUUAGGGAAGAACAAAUGUGUAAGUAACUAUGCGCGUCUUGACGGUACCUAAUCAGAAAGCCACGGCUAACUACGUG